UACGUAGGGUGCGAGCGUUAAUCGGAAUUACUGGGCGUAAAGCGUGCGCAGGCGGCGCCGCAAGGCGAGUGUGAAAUCCCCGAGCUUAACUUGGGAAUUGCGCUCGAAACUACGAUGCUGGAGUGUGGCAGAGGGAGGUGGAAUUCCACGUGUAGCGGUGAAAUGCGUAGAGAUGUGGAGGAACACCGAUGGCGAAGGCAGCCUCCUGGGCCAACACUGACGCUCAUGCACGAAAGCGUGGGGAGCAAACAGG
rnacentral:rRNA from 1 species